rnacentral:lncRNA from 1 species
AGAGGGUCUAUUGAACUAUUUGAUAAAGUUAAGAGAGUCUAAUCGUCAAAAUUUAUAAAUCAGACGGGUGCUUAUAGAACAGCAAAAAGACUAGUUAGGUUAAGCUAAUAUUGUUUAUCACAAUGCACAGACUGAUCAUACCGAGUGCAGUCGGCUAAAGACUUAAAAAUUAUUGAUAUUUGAGAUUUCAAGUUAAAAACCUAACUAUUUUACAUUUCUAACUGGAUUUAUUUUUAAAAAAUAAAUGAAACAGAUAACUUACUCUCUUUCUCUCAAAAAAUUAUAUACGUGCACAGAGCUGCAAAAAACAUUGCUUUCAUAUCUUGUUUUUGGUUUUUGAUCAAUGAUAUAACUGCAGGAUUUAUAUUUAAAGAAGGAAAAACAAAAAAGAAAAAGAAUUGAAACCAUCUCAAAAUAAUCUGAACCAGCUUUAGUUAAACUUGGGCCGAUUUUCAUAUCAAACGAGUCUGGUUCGGAGUUAGAACGAGAAAAAAGAGGAGAAAAAAAAGCCAAUUUAUCUCAGUUCAGUUUCAAUUUUCUUUUGAAAUACUUAUUUUUUCUACGUGAAAGAACCGCUUUGGAUGUUUUUCUAUAAAAAGAUUGAGUAAAUUGCACUAUGUGGAACCUAAACUUUUAAUAAGGUUUUUAAUACUGUUUCAUUUUAAUUGUUAACUUGAAAUAGAAAUAAGAUAAUUGAUUGCAUUUAAUUCAUAUGUACAUUCGUAAAUCAUGAACUUAAUUGUUUCUUCAUUCAUAUUCCCAAUUUAGAGGUUUAAUUAUUUUUAAAAAAAGAUUAAUUACAUACAGCUCUCUGUAAACAUAUUGAAUAGCAAAUGUAUCCCUACAAAGUUUAAAUUUUUAUUUUUAUCCCUACAAAAGUCCAAUGAUAUUUAUAUUUGCCUCUCUAUUUUGUUACCAUUAGAGUACUGUCUAUUUUUUAAUAGCAGAUAAGUGAAAUGGUAUUUUAUCCUUACAAGUAUAUUCCUUCAAAAACCCCAACUAUUAGAAUUAUACAGAAAUAUCCUCUCAAAAAGCAUUUUAGCAAUAAUACAAAAUUAGUAAAAAGGUCAAUUUAACUAAUUUACUAAUCAGAGUUAAGUAUUUUAUUUAUAGUUAAUUAUAUUUUUCUAACCGAUUCUAACAGCAAAAAUAUAUUUGAAAAUAUUAGAAGUUUUGUAGGGAUAAAAGUAAAAAGUUAAACUUUGUAAGGAUAUAUUUGCUAUUCGAUAUGUUUAGAGAAGGUUGUAUGCAAUUAACUCUUAAAAAAAUUAUAACGCAAUAAAUGAUAGGAUUAAAAUAUGCAAUAAAAAGAGUACUUGGUAAAUAACAUAAACAUUAGGUUUAUUGUAUGUAGACAAUUGAUUUAUCUCAAUAGUAUAUAUAUAUAUAUUUAUGCAUUUAACUCUUUAAAAAUGUAUACGCAAUAAAUGAUAGGAUUAAAAUAUGCAAAUAAAUAAGAGUACUUGUAAAGUACAUGAAGCAUUAGGAUUUAUGUAUAUCAGACUAAUAUUUAUUCUCAAUGAGUAUAUAUAUAUAUAUAAUAUUAUAUAUAAUAAAUAUAAUAUAUAAAUACAAUAAUAUAUAUAUAUAUAUAUAUAGAGUGAGGCGACUAUGCUAAUCGGAAGCACGGAGCCUAUCACGGCUUCCAGCCAUUUUCGAUGUUCGAAUUCGAAAUCGACGCAUCGCUCCGUUAAACUUGAUCUAGAGUAUUUGAAUACACUAGAAAAAUAAUUUUUAGAUUUAUAAAAGGGGGUAAUUACGAUCAUCAUUUGCUAGUGAACGAAAGGGACAUCAAAUCAACGAGGCUAAAUAAAAAUCUAUACAAUUAUGUAAUAAAUGACAUAAAUAUUUAAAUCAAAGAUAUUGAUCUUGUUUUAUAUACAUAAAGAAUUUUCUACGAAAAUUUCACGUGAUUGUUGGAUAUUUCUAACAACCAAUAAACUAUGCAAACGGCUACACUACGCAUUGAAAAUUGUUGAUUUUGAGCCUAUUCGAGUCACUAGGCAAAUGAUAUCGAAAAACAUAAAAUUUCAUUUUCUAGGUAUCUCCAAAUACUCUAGAUCAUAGUUAACGGAAGCGCGAUCGACGAAUUUGAAAGUUGCAACAUUGAAAACGAGCUGGAAGCACCGGAAAGGCCCGCUGCUCCGUAGCAUAGUAAGCCUCACUCUACUAUAUAUAUACGCGACUCGCUUCUUACGUAACAUGAACGUACUUAACUGUACCUUGGACCGCCAUCCCCAACGCACGGCAAUUCAAGUGUUCUAAUAUAAAGCAGUUAACCCAGCAAGACAUCUUAAAAGAAAUUAUAACGCAAUAAAUGAUAGGAUUAAAAUAUCAAUAAAAAGAGUACUUGGUAAAUACAUGAACAUUAGUUUAUAUGUCAUAUAAACAAUGAUUAUUCUCAAUAGUAUAUAUACUAGUUAAGAAGCCGCCCGCGCGAUCAGACGGGCAAGACAGUACAAUAGUAAAAUAAUUAUAACUAUUAACAUUAUUUUUUUCUUAUUUAUGCAAUUAAUAUUUUUAAAUAUUAUUUAUCUCAAUAUUGAUAAUUAAAAAUGUAAAGAAUAAAUUUAAAGUAUAUUUAUUUCUAAAAUAUUAAUCUAAUAAGUAAAAUAAUAAACCUUUUAAAAUAAACAAAAGCUCAUUACAGUUAUAAGAAGAUAAAUUAAUAUUUUAUUAUUAUCACCAAGCAAAAUUAACAAAAAAAAAUAAAAAAUUAAGUAAAGGAAAAGUACUAUCUUGUGAUUCUGGCGACAACAAUCUAUCAUUGACCCUCAUAUAUCAGAAGUACUAAAAUAAUAAGACUAAUCAAAAGCAUAAGACGAAAUCAAAAUAAAUAUUUUUGUACAACUGUAAAAAAACUCACUACAAAUAUUAUAUUAUUAUAUAAAUUAAUCCCUUAAAAAAUUGUUUGGGAAUAAAGUGAAAAACAUGCAAAAGGUUUAGGGAUUAAGGAACCAAAAUAAAAACGCGUUGAAAAGAUUGGACCCCAAUCUGCAAUUAAUUUGUUAAAAAAUUUAAAAAUUGAUGUGGGCACCACAAUCACCCAAAAAUAAGGGAGUUCUGUUUAGGGUUCCAAUUAGUUACAGUUUUUAAUUUAAUUUUUUCAUACUUAUGAAAUUUUGUAAACAAGAUGGCAUUAAUUGUUAAGUAUAUUAUAUAUACACAGAUCGAAGGGAGAGAGGGGCCCACCACCCCUCUCCCACAGCGCGGGGUCCACCUACCCUCCUCCUCACCCGGUCCAACCUAUGAGUGCGUGGACCCCGCGUGCAAGGAGCCACGUGAUCCCCGCCAGCUCCCCCUCACGCGCUGUCAAACCGGCGAGCCCGCCGAAUGCGAGGAGAGCGCGUACCAGUUGCCUUUCAUAGAUAAUAUAUAAUAUGAUAUAGAGUUGGGCCUGGUUGCUAUGAUAGCACCCAGCCAUGUUUGCCCCCAUUUUGUAAACCAUUGAUCGCAUUCGAGAUCCGUGCUGCCCCUUUACUAGAAAAAUUGGGGAAAAAGCUCGUUAGAUCCGCUCCGUUAAUCUCUCUUUCUCUCUCUCCUCUCUCUCUUCACCUCUCUCUUUCUUUUUCUUUCUUCUUUUCCUUUCUUCUCCACAGACCUCAAACCCCACUUCCAGAGCCUCCCUCCUACCACAGCACGCCCACUCCUACCCCCCAACGCCCCCAAGCCCGCUUGCCUCUCACUUUCUCCUCUUUCUUCUUUUCCUUUUUCUUUUCAUUUCUUGCUUCACACACGCAUCUUACCACCGAAACCUCGCUCCUCCAGCCCCGCCCGCCUCCGCUUCUCGCACCACCUCGCCCAGCACUCGUCCCCGAUCGCUCUCGCUCGAUAUUGCUGGCUCGCUCGCCCCCUCGCCUACUUCUCAGGUUUGAUUCUUUCUUUUUCUUUUUUUUUAGUUGUUUGGUGAAUAAGUCACAGGAAAAAAAUUAUUUGGUGAAAUAAAUUAUAGAAAAAAAUUAUUGGUCUGUUUUUCAAAAAUCUGAAAAAAAAAUCCGAUUUUAUUAUACAAAUUAUGAAUUUAUUAUAAAAUCUGAUUUUAUUAUACAAAAUCAGAUUUUAUUAUAUAAUCAGAUUUUAUUAUAAAAUCUGAUUUUAUUAUACAAAAUCAGACUUUAUUAUUCUAUACAAAAUCAGAUUUUAUUAUUAUACAAAAUCAGAUUUAUUAUAAAAUCUGAUUUUAUUAUACAAAAUAUACUUUUAUUAUAAAAAUCUGAUUUUAUUAUAUAAAUUCUGAAUUACAGGAAAUUUUUUGUGGGUUUGAUCAUGAAGCUAUCUUGUGUGUUGGGUUCUCUCACGGAAUUGGCUAAAACUCAAAAUCAACUUUAUGUGUGGACUUAUUCAAGUUAAAAGCUUUAAAUCACACUUCUCGCAUCUUUUUCAUCAUAUUACGAAUGGAAUACGAAAAUCAGAUUUUAUUAUUCUAGCAUCUAUUAUACAAAUUCUGUUUUUCAAAAAUCAGAGCAAAAUCUGUUUUUCAAAAAUCUGAUUCCCAGCCCAACUCUUGCUUUCUACAUGAAAUUUUAGCAGAGGUACGAGAAAUUUUAACAACUGCUUCAUUGCCACAGUAGCAUAAUAUAACAUGUGAUUGUAUAUAACCCAUACUCUUCCUUCUAUUCAUUUAUUAAAUUAUCUGUAAAAAAAUAGCAAAAUAUAAAAUGAGAUUUAAAAUUCGAAAAUAAAUAUAAGCAACAUACGUAAAGUCAUAAAACAGAAUCGUGCUACUAUCUACUACUAUAUGCACGAGAACAUCUAAAGAUUCAACAACAUGCUCACGAACAGUUCUUUUCUCAAGCGAAUCUACUACUAUCUACACUCAAUGUGCUAGACAAAGUCAUAAAACAGAAUCGUGACAAAAGAUUAUCAAAAAGUAAGUGUUCAGGAAUCCGAAUAGCAGGGAUUAUGCCGUAUAUUUAACUCUGUUAAGUUAACGAUUUUCAGAAAAUAUUCGCACUAAGCAAAUGCAUGAGCAUCAGCAUACUGAAUCCAAGUAAAGCAAAACACUCAUACAAAAUUCGUCGAGAAGUUCUUACCAAUGUUUGAAAUCUUUUCAGAUUAAUCCUAAUAAACCCUCUGAGAAACACAAAACCUAGUACAUUAUUAUUCAAGUUAAAAGCUUUAAAUCACACUUCUCGCAUCUUUUUCAUCAUAUUACGAAUCGAAUACGAAUAAGUACACACAUAAAGUUGAUUUUGAGUUUUAGCCAAUUCCGUAAGAGAACCCAACACACAAGAUAGCUUCAUGAUCAAACCCACAAAAAAUUUCCUGUAUUUCAGAAUUUAUAUAAUAAAAUCUAAUUUUGUAUAAUAAAAUCUGAUUUUAUAAUAAAUCUGAUUUUGCAUAAUAAUAAAAUCUAAUUUUGUAUAGAAUAAUAAAAUCUGAUUUUGUAUAAUAAAAUCAGAUUUUAUAAUAAAAUCUAAUUUUGUAUAAUAAAAUCAUAUUUUAUAAUAAAUUCAGAAUUUGU